CUCAGUAACACGUGGCCAAGCUACCCUGUGGACACGGACAACCUCGGGAAACUGAGGCUAAUCCGCGAUACCGCUCCCAGGCUGGAGUGCCGGGAGCGCCAAACGCUCCGGCGCCACAGGAUGCGGCUGCGGCCGAUUAGGUAGACGGUGGGGUAACGGCCCACCGUGCCGAUAAUCGGUACGGGUGGUGAGAGCCAGAGCCCGGAGAUGGAAUCUGAGACAAGAUUCCAGGCCCUACGGGGCGCAGCAGGCGCGAAACCUUUACACUGCACGACAGUGCGAUAAGGGGACCCCGAGUGCGAGGGCAUACAGUCCUCGCUUUUGUGUACCGUAGGGAGGUACACGAAUAAGGGCUGGGCAAGACCGGUGCCAGCCGCCGCGGUAAUACCGGCAGCUCAAGUGAUGGCCGCUGUUAUUGGGCCUAAAGCGUCCGUAGCCGGCCGCACAAGUCCGUCGGGAAAUCCACCCG
rnacentral:rRNA from 1 species